rnacentral:lncRNA from 1 species
ACAUUAAUUUAUGAAUAGAUCUAGACAAAGACACGAUAGAUGGGAGAGACAUGAUAGAUGGGAGUAUAUUAACUCGAGCAAACUUGAAGGCUCGAAGCUAAAAUUGAUUGCGAAAAUUGAUUCAUGAAAGAAUAAAGAUCUAAGCAACUCGAACUAAUCACAUGUGGCCCAAUGGCUGAUCGUUGAGCAUUCCGAUCGACGAUGGUUACAAAAUCCUACCAGCGGAGAGCAUCUUCCUCUUGUUAUUGGCCCAGGGGGCAAAAAGAGUAAAAUGUGGCUAGGUGUUUCGAGUUUAUGCUCUGUUAUUGGCAUCAAGGAUGCCCAAAGAGUAAAAACAAAAAAAAAAAAAAAAAAAAAAGCCGUGAAGGCGGUGUUUCGAGUUUAUGCUCUGUUAUUGGCAUCAAGGAUGCCCAAAGAGUAAAAAAAAAAAAAAAAAAAAAAAACAGCCGUGUAGGCGUGUGCAGCUUCAAGCAGCAGCCUUCUUGCAGUAGUUUUCCAGCCACUCCAUGGUGACA